rnacentral:rRNA from 1 species
AUUGAACGCUGGCGGCAGGCCUAACACAUGCAAGUCGAGCGAGCGGCGGACGGGUGAGUAAUGUCUGGGAAACUGCCUGAUGGAGGGGGAUAACUACUGGAAACGGUAGCUAAUACCGCAUACCAUCAGAUGUGCCCAGAUGGGAUUAGCUUGUUGGUGGGGUAACGGCUCACCUAGGCGACGAUCCCUAGCUGGUCUGAGAGGAUGACCAGCCACACUGGAACUGAGACACGGUCCAGACUCCUACGUGAGGCAGCAGUGGGGAAUAUUGCACAAUGGGCGCAAGCCUGAUGCAGCCAUGCCGCGUGUAUGAAGAAGGCCUUCGGGUUGUAAAGCACUGUCAGCGAGGAGGCGUUACUCGCAGAAGAAGCACCGGCUAACUCCGUGCCAGCAGCCGCGGUAAUUC